CGCAAGAUGGCGGCCGCAGUGGGAGGAAUCACCUACCUGUGUGGAAGUGUGAGUAUCUGACUUGGAUGGCCCAGAUUACAGGGCUCUGAGAACAGAGAAGUGAUGCAUUUUGCGAAGGAGGUGGGAGGCAGGCUGGCACCUGGAGAUCCUUUUCUGCCCUUUUCUUUAUAGCUCCAAGCAGUCUCCUCAUCUCUAAAACACGGACAGAAACAGCUAUCAGCCCCGCUCCCCUCGGGUUUGCACGCGGCCAAGGUGCAAUCACAGAGGCCCAAGCUCAGAGGGCUGCAGGCAAUGAGGCAAUCGAUACAAGAGGGAAGACAGAAAAGGCUGCUCAGCCCAAGAGGAAGCAGAAGGUGGAGCAGAGAAGCAAGGGUUGCUUUAUGAUAAGUAGAGCGACAGCCUCGCCUAGUUAGGUGUUGCUUUAUUCUCAGUCUGAGCUGAAUGUGGAAUACAAGCUUUCUGUACCUGAAACCCCUUAUUUCUCAAAAUGUACUCGCUCCUUUCUCGGUUGAACAUGACUUCAGAUGAUGUUAAGUUAAUUGUGCUUAUGGGCUGUCUUCUCAACAGCAAGAGUUUUGGCCUAAGGGUUAGAGGGUCCUUGGCUAUUUUGUAAAUACUUCUUUUAGAAUUUAUUUAGAUAAAGAGUUGAUUAAUUUGGGAGGUGGGAAAGGCAUUUUUCAGAAGACAUUUUGGAGCAUCUACAAUGUUAUUACAAUUAGUAUGAUGCCAACUCACAAUUUUACUGUAAGAGUAAACUGCUAGGAAAAUAAAGGCUGCUAUGAAGUAAAA